CACCAGGUUGAUUCUGCCUGACGUAGAUGCUUGUCUCUAAGAUUAAGCCAUGCAUGUUUAUGUAAUAAGGACGAAUAGCUCAGUAGAACUACGAUUAUUUAAUCCGUUUGUAAGAUAACCACGUGAAAAUGUGGCUAAGAGAGGGCAGAAUAAGUUGUAGGACUAUCAGUUAGUUGGUAGUGUAAUGGACUACCAAGACGGUAACGGUUAACGGGGAAUUAGGGUUUUAUACCGGAGAGGGAGCCUGAGAGAUUGCUCCCACGUCCAAGGACGGCAGCAGGCGCGAAAAUUGCCCACUGUUGUAGGAGGCAGUUAUGAGACGUGAGAUUGAAUAUUUGGCAAAGAGAAAUAGGAGAAUUGGAGGGCAAGUUUGGUGCCAGCAGCCGCGGUAAUACCGACUCCAAGAGUGUGUAUGAGAGAUGCUGCAGUUAAAAAGUCCGUAGUCAUUUAGUUUUAAAUCGAGAUGGAUGUCUCAGAUAGAAAUGAUUGAGGAACCAAUGGGGAAAACAGUAUACCAGGGCGAGAGAUGAAAUGUCAAGACCCCUGGUGGACUAAGCGAGGCGAAAGUGGUUUUCUUGUGGGGAUUCUAUGAUCAAGGACGAAGGGUGGAGGAUCGAAAGUGAUUAGAUACCGCAGUAGUUCCAGCAGUAAAAGAUUCCGACAUGUCGAUUGGAAACAGUUGACGGGGAGAAAUCUUAGAGUUCGGGCUCUUGGAAUAGUAUGCUCGCAAGAGUGAAAAUUAAAGAAAUU
rnacentral:rRNA from 1 species